GUUGCUUUAAUAAUGAUCUCUUUAUAUUUGUCGGAAGUUACAAUUUUCAGCUUGAUUUUAACCGGAUUCUUGCGGGAAGAAGCUAACAAAGACAGGUUACAAUAUAAAGACCACCCUGUUACAAAAAUUGGCCUCUUGGUUAAGGAAAAAGGAAAGAAACAAUUGAUCACUGUAAUUUAUGAUUUUAUCGUUGGUGGCAUUUAUAACACAACUAAA